CUCGCCGACCUCCUCUACCACGUCCCUGGCCAGAUGAAGGACGAUCAUGUAACUACCAGCAUGUAUCACGGAUGUGCUCCGAUUUGUUGUAAUAGGAGCAUAUCCGCAUAUCUCGAUCACCUCUACUGCGCGGCUGUGAUUGUAACUGAGCGACCAUCGCAAAAUGGACUGUAUCAAUAGAGGAGGCAAUCAUCAUGCGUCGAC
rnacentral:lncRNA from 1 species